GAAUAUUGCUCAAUGGGCGCAAGCCUGAAGCAGCGACGCCGCGUGGACGAUGAAGGCUUUCGGGUCGUAAAGUCCUUUUCUGGGCGACGAGCAGGGACGGUAACCCAGGAAUAAGGGUCGGCUAACUAAGUGCCAGCAGCCGCGGUAAAACGUAGGACACGAGCGUUAUCCGGAGUUACUGGGCGUAAAGGGCGUUUAGGCGGGUGACUAAGUUCGCUAUGAAAGCGCCGGGCUAAACCCGGCGAGGCUGGCGGAUACUGGUGAUCUGGAGUGGGGUAGAGGGAAGUAGAAUUCCGCGUGUAGUGGUGAAAUGCGUAGAGAUGCGGAGGAAUACCAGUGGCGAAGGCGACUUCCUGGACCUUAACUGACGCUGAAGCGCGAAAGCAUGGGGAGCGAACGGG
rnacentral:rRNA from 1 species